rnacentral:lncRNA from 1 species
GUCUUUUUCUAAUCUAUUGAAACCCUUACAAAGGCUAAUGGUCUGUGUGUGUAACUGUGUGUAACUGUGCGCGCAUGCAUGCUGGGUCUUAGUUGGGGUGUGCAGGAUCUUUAGUUGUGGCACGUGGGAUUUUUUUGUUUGUUUUUUCUUACUUGCAGCUUGUGGGAACUUUUAGUUGCAGCGUUUGGAAUCUUUAGUUACGAGGACUGAACCCAAGUCCCCUGCAUUCGGAGCACAUAGUCUUAGCCACUGGACCGACCACAAGGGAGGUUGCUUAUCAGUGUUUUAAAUGUUCUAGUUGGGUGUGCAGGGUAUCUCAUUGUGGUUUUAUUUUAUUUUGUAAAAUAAAUGACUAAUGAUAUUGAGUUUAUGGGCUAAUGGCUUAUGGGCCAUACCUUCCCCCCUCUCUGUUUUUGGCAAUGGCAGCAACUGUUGAGAUGUAAUUCACAUACCGUACAGUUUGCUCAUUAAUGGUUUUUAGUAUAUUCAUGGAGUUGUACAGUCAUUACUAAAACACUUCUAUUUUUGACCCUCCGUCUUGGUCUGUAUUCUUUCCCCUGGAGAUCAUACCCACUUCCCACAUUUCAACAAUCACUCUAUCUCCCAGAUCUUUAUGUCCAUUUCUGAACAUCUGUGUCUAGUGUGUUGAUUCCAGAUUAUUCACAGCCUCAUGUAUCUUUUGCAGGAUAUGUUCAACUGGCCGUAAAGUCAACUUGUCACCUCCCCCGACAACAAGCACAGUUCCCCACCCCCUGCACACGUCAUCCCAUCAUCCCUGCUGCUAGCUCCUCUUGCUUCCUGCAUGUUCACCAGGUGCCUGGGGUUAUAUGUCUUUAAGAUUUGAGAUUGCUUAUGUAGGAUCCAUGUGUGAUACUAUAAGAGGACCCAGAUGAAGACCUUUGGAUUUGGAGGCAGUCCCGCCAGCUGGGAUUUGAAGAACCAUCCAAGGAUCUUCAUCGCGAUGCUCUGCCUGCACUGAAGAGUGGUUUCCUGAGAGCCUCCUUGGGACCACGGGAAGCG